GAUACAGUAGACCCUCAUCCGUCAUUUGGCUGUAUGCAAGGAGAUGCUUGUGAUAAAUCAAUCUGAGAGGAAGCGUGACCCCUCAAAGUAGGGCUACUGCUGAAGAGGAUAUGGACCCGCAGGCUGUCAUGCAAGGAAGGAUAUUAGUGCAGACUCGGUCAAGAGAGAAAGCCAUACCACCAUGCUCAGGCUUGGCUCUGCUGCAACCGCUUCUCGUGCUCCAGUGCUGCCUUGCUGACUCUUGGAUGCUGCCUGUGCAAGGCCCAGCGCUGCCUUGCCUGCUUGGUGCGGGUUAUCAGUGGUCAGUUCCUGUUUCAGCAAAUAGCUCUGGUGGAAAAGGACUGAUCUGCAGAAGCAGCCACCACAGCAGGAUAUUCCAAAGCCAGGAUCCUCUGUGAGCUCUGGGCUUUCAUGUGAUGUGCACUACGGAUCCAACGCUGGUCCAGGUCUUCUGCUGCACGACUACACGCAGUGCUGCUGGCUUCAGCUCCAUGUUCCUGCUUUGGGAGAGCACGGAGCCUGCAUCUCUGCACCCACGGACACUGCUUCUGUCAG